rnacentral:rRNA from 1 species
UACAGAAGGAGCCAAGCUGUUGUCCGGAUUGACUGGGCGUAAAGCGCACGCAGGCGGACGCGCGCGUGGGGUGUGAAAUCUGGCCGCUUAACGGCCAGGCGCCAUCCCAUACGGCGCGUCUGGAGUGAUGCAGAGGUCGGUGGAAUUGCCGGUGUAGUGGUGAAAUGCGUAGAGAUCGGCAGGAACACCCAGGGGGAAACCAGCCGACUGGGCAUCUACUGACGCUGAGGUGCGAGAGCGUGGGGAGCGAACCGG